rnacentral:lncRNA from 1 species
GACUGCCCAACUGAAAUAUCAAGUUGUGGGCUGUGUUGGGAACAAUAGAACCUUAUCUGCUCUCCACCAUACUUUAAUUGUUGUACAAGUUGGAUAUUUUGUGCAGUCGACUAGGUUCAAUGCUUGGGUUGGGUUUGUAAACCUGAGAGGAAUUGGGUGCAUGAAGGCCACAUAGGGUAGCUCAAGUAGUGAUGGCACUCUUGGAAACCCAUGUCCACUACAUGUUAAGCAAAUGCAGUGACAAUUGCCCAAUGUUCAGGUGUUUAAAGGGCAGCGAGCAAUGGAAAUCUCCUUUCUACCUCGAGCUCUACUCACAGACUACUGCAAUGGUGUGAGAUUCAUGUGUGCUUGCCAGGGUUAACCCUCUCCCUAGCCCCAGGGUAGCCCUGUCUAGAACUACGCGCGCCAACACCCAGUCUGGUGACCGCGCUCACCUGAGUGAUCACCUUGUCGUGGCUAGGCCGACUCAAGCAGGCAUUGGUCCAUAUUGUGCCUAUCUCAUAUCCCCUAUAGAUCAGUGAACCUCACCAAGCUGUUUUCCCUAACGCUACUAUCAUGCUUUUGCUGGAACAGGGGCAUGUCGUCGUGAUCUGGUGCUAUGGGCAGCUCCACCACAUACCAUACAACUCACGCUUUCCUCAAUCAACCUCGCGCGAGCACCGUGAUCUAUGUAAGUCAGUGAUACUCUCCAUGUCUUUGGUUUGAGCUCUACCAUAGAGGUGCAUCAGAAUCGGGCACGCCGAGUCAAGAACUCCGUGGGUAUUGUGGCAGGGGUGGACUGGUACUUGUCGUGGGUGUUGGAGGAUUGAGGUUAAUGCGGGUUGGCUAUGAACACAUGUCAGAGGUGAUUUGUGGGUGCCAAUGACCUACGCCGCCGCUGCCAUAGUCGUCGGUUCACUGGAGAACUAUGCGGCGGUGUUGGGGCCGUGAAGUUGUGAAUGAGCCGAAGCCGAGGGGUGUGCGUGAAACUGUCGGUGACUCAGCCAAACAGUGGCUCAGAGUCAUAUCAGUUUAGUUAGAGCAGCGGGGUCUUUUAUGCAAAAACGCAGGCGCGGGCCGUUGGCCACGGGCCAGUUUUGCUUGGUUCUGGGCUGUCUAGAUUAAUUUAGGCCCAACACUAUUCACUACUUUACCUUUUUCUUUUGUCUGAAAGCUUGGAUGUUGUCCCAAAAAUAGUAGAAAAUUUAAAAAAUCAUAGGACAAAUUUUGUUGGAUGUCUAAAAUCAAGAGCUCUCUGGUAAAGUUGGUGUUAGGAUUUUUAGAUCAGUUAGCAAAUUUUAAGUGAAGUUAAGGUGCUCUUAGAAGGACUAUUGGAACUUUAUAAAUUUGAUUUGGGUACCAAAAAUCAUGGGAAUUUUUGGAGAAGCUUGUUAUGAGAAGUUGAACAGUUGGUAAAAGUUUGGGGAUAUUUGGAAGCUUGUUGCUCUAGAAACCUUGUAAGCCCCAAAAUAAAAUGGUUAAUCCCUAAUCAGGUGUGGGUUAGUGGUUUGGAAACGAGAUGAGUUUAUUUAGUGAGAGUUGGUCUUUAGAGGAAGGAACCAAAGGAAGAUUAAUCCCUACGUAAAUUCAAUUUGGCCACUUUUAUCAAGUGCUAGGUUGUGUAGAAGUAUGUGUAUACUUGUCAUGUACUUAUUUAGGAGUGUUUAUGUUCCCCACCUCUCCUUGUGAGAGUUUGCAUGUCAUAUCAUUACAUAAGCAUUCAUGUAUUUGUAAUUGACUUGUAGAACACUUAGAAGAAGUGGUGUUUUAAGAAGGAGUCUACUCCAGUGUCUGUUGAUCAAGUGGAAGAACCAUUUAACUAGGUAUUUAAUAUAGGGAUCUAGAACCUCUUCACUGCAAUAAGGCAAGUCCGACUGGAUUUGCCCCUUCCUUGUAUUUUUAGAAAGACUUUUAUACACUUUAAGUCUAGUGAAAUGUGCAUUAAGUUUAUAAGAGUUGCUUGGAAACUAUUUGAUGCAUUGACUACCUUGAUAUCCAUUCCUGUUAUAGAUACUUCUUUGGAAGUAUCAAAUAUUGUUUACAAAAAUUGCUUAGCCCUACCUAGAGGUAAGUCUUGCAAAUAGAGUUGGUCAUUUGCACUAAUGCCUAGCUCAGGGUUUAUCCUGAGGAAGGAUGGCUCUACCUACAAGAAUAUUUUCACCAGGAUCAUGGGGAGAUCUAAUGCAAGGUUACUUGUGACGUUUUAAUCAUCCUAAGGUACAUAAAUAUGUCCUAAGGGUGAAAGUACUUAAAUCGAGACUUAGGCUAGGAACAGGUGAUGUUCUGCCUAGGUUGAUUAAGGAUUAUAGGGAAUACAGGCUUGAUGAUCGAGGACUAUAUUAACUAGCCACAUGCCCCGAUAUGGGACAGGUUAAGCCUAAUAUUAGCUUGACCAAUACAAGAAAGGCUACCACGCAACGGGAGUGGAGAGAUGGCGAGAGUAGUGUGUACCCUCCAUGGCAAGAGGCUAGACGGUGGAGUAACUGUGCUCUCGGUUGGCGUGAACCCGGUCUGGUCUUGAGAUAGCAGGGAGCGGGUUGGCAUAUGCAAGGGUUAAGUGCUACAUAUGUCAUGUGGUUAGGGAUCCCCAGCUGGGUAAAUAGAUUUGGAUCGCCGUUAUAUCCUCGGACAAUGGAGACUUGACCACUGCCCUGCAAUUUAAGUCAUGUAUGGAAUCAUAAUGAGCAAAAAUCAUGUUGUAUUGAUUAAUGUGAUGAUGAAAUUAAACUAGAUGCAAACAAGGUCUAUUAAUACUUAAUCUAGCAUUAAAAUUUUGAAAGUAAGGACUCAUUUUAGUAAGCUUUUCUGCAAACUAUUAAAGUUGAUUCUUGCUAAAAGCCUUUCCUUGAUUCCCAAAUCCAGCAUAUCCUUGAGAGUUUUUUUCCUUAGUCGGGUAAGACUUGUGAAAGUACACUCUGUACUUAGGAUUUUCGAACCCAUGUUGUUGUAGGUAAUCAGGAGUAUUCUAGAUGUCCCUGUGGCUGGAAGAUGCUUCUAGUCUUGAAGGAGGAUUAGUUAGGUUUAUGUAUGAGCUUUGGAAGGGAUCUACCUUCCUACUUUUGUAUGUAAGUUAUGCACUUUGAGUAUAUCAGGACUUGUAAUAAUUAUAAAUCUUUCUAGCAUGUAAAACUUGAGUUUUGGAAUAAAGAAUGUUUUGUAAAGUCUUCUGCUCUAUCUCCGAAGUGUGUGUGUAUCGAAUGUGAUUACUGUAAUAUACAUGUUUGUGUGAGAUCUCUAGGAUAAUGAGUUCAAGUUGUUGAACUCCAUAGCCUUGUUAAGUUACACGGUACACGUGCAUAGCCAUAUGAGGCCGUUAAUGGCAAGGAUUGGGGCAUGUGGGCCUAAUAACUUGGGAGGGCUAUCACACUUUGGUAUAAUGUUACUAUAUCCAUUAUUUGCUUGAUUGUAUGUACUGCUACGAGUAGAGGCAAUAUCGCGAGGAAUCUGGAGGCCAACUUUUGGGACAACAUCUGAACUACAAGGUUAUCGCAAGUAUAAGGCAAGUUGUGCCCUUGAUCACUUUUCUUUACCCAAUAAUGUUCUUGAUAAUCAUUGUGACAUGCUCAGGUUAAUUUGAUGGGACCUAAUAGGUUACCCUAGUUUUGUUCACCCUACACUUUGCAAAUAAAUGAACUAUUGGGUAGGCUUGCUAUUACUCUACCUGGUUUUGGGGUUAAUAUUAUAUCUAAAUUAUGAUCAUGCUCCAUUUUUAUUCAUGGAGCGACCACCCGGGAAAACAGUGCUACCACAAGGGGGGAUGGGAAGCCCUUGGCUAAUUAAUUAGGAAAGCUAGUGUGAGUUAAUCCUUUCUCGAAAGGGGCAAGCAGGGUGGAGGAGUGCAGGUAUAGAGAGGUGCUCGGGCCAGACUGUUUGUAAAGCUUUUCGGACAAGGGAUUCCUAUAUCGCCUUCGACCUAGAAUCUGUAGCGGGUUCCCUCAUCUAGUGGAACUUUGCAAAGGCCUCACAGUGGUUCUCGAGCCAUUCACCUUGGGAGUGUAUAAGGGUCUUGCAAACCAUGGCUAAACGGGAAACACGUCCUAUGGGUAAAGAUGCACAACCUCUGCAGAGUGUAAAACUGGUAUAUCAGCCAUUCUCACGGUCAUGAGCGGCUCAAACCCUUACACGAGUAAUUUAUGGAAUUAAACUUAAUAUGUCAUUUGCAUUGCAUUUUGAGAUUUAUUAUUAAUUGUGAUCUCUUAUUUAAUUAGGAUGGUAUCUACUUAUACUUAGUAACUGCUAAUAAAAUUUUGACCAACACUAAAAGCAAUGUUCAGCCUUAAUCAUUCCUCUUUGGUAAGCCUUACACUACACAUGAGCACCCACUGUAAGUGAGCUCAUGCACAUUAUUCCCCACAACGUUUUGAGCUAUGAUCGUAAGUGAGCUCACCCUUGUUGUACUGACAUCAGGUCAAGAACAGGUACCGCAAGAUGAGGAGCGUGAAGGAUGAUGCGAUAAGUUCGGAGAGAUCUAGGUCGUCGUCUCCAGUCAACUUUGGUUGCGGAGGAUCGUUGUCGUCAUAUGAUGUAAUUAUUUAGCUAUUUUGCACAGAACCCCUAUUAUAUAAUAAAGAUGUGACAUUGAUU